ACACGACUACAUUAGAUACCCCGGUAGUCCUAGCCGUAAACGAUACUCGCUAGGUGUCGGCCACGGUGCGACCGUUGUCGGUGCCGUAGGGAAGCCGUGAAGCGAGCCACCUGGGAAGUACGGCCGCAAGGCUGAAACUUAAAGGAAAUUGGCGGGGGAGCACCACAACGGGUGGAGCUUGCGGUUAAAUUGGAUUCAACGCCGGAAAUCUUACCGGGACCGACAGCAACAUGAAGGCCAAGCUGAAGACUUUGCCGGAUUAGCUG
rnacentral:rRNA from 1 species